AGUGAACGCUGGCGGUAGGCCUAACACAUGCAAGUCGAACGGCAGCACAGUAAGAGCUUGCUCUUACGGGUGGCGAGUGGCGGACGGGUGAGGAAUACAUCGGAAUCUACUUUUUCGUGGGGGAUAACGUAGGGAAACUUACGCUAAUACCGCAUACGACCUACGGGUGAAAGCAGGGGAUCUUCGGACUUUGCGCGAUUGAAUGAGCCGAUGUCGGAUUAGCUAGUUGGCGGGGUAAAGGCCCACCAAGGCGACGAUCCGUAGCUGGUCUGAGAGGAUGAUGAGCCACACUGGCACUGAGACACGGUCCAGACUCCUACAGGAGGCAGCGGUGGGGAAUAUUGGACGAUGGGGGCAGGCCUGAUCCAGCCAUACCGGGUGGGUGAAGAAGGCCUUCGGGUUGGAAAGCCCUUUUGUUGGGAAAGAAAAGCAGCAGGUUAAUACCCCACUGUUCUGACGGUACCCAAAGAAUAAGCACCGGCUAACUUCGUG
rnacentral:rRNA from 1 species